UCAGGUUCCUUUCUAAAUGCAGCUUACAGUUUAAUUAAUAAUUGCAGUUUCCACUGUGGUCUCGACAGUUCGUGAGUUGCAUAGACAUAUUCACCUGAUCAAAACUGAAUCUUGGUUGCACUUCUGAGAUGUAAGAGACUAACCAUGACCAAAACAGAGUGAUGACGCAAUAAAGGCGUGCACUGUCUAGGGGGUGGGACACUGGUUUCAUGACAUCACUGCUAUAGAAACACAUUCUUCACAGUUUCAGCUGCAGAUUGAAGCAGACGCUGGAGGGAGGUUUGUCGUUUGAAAGUUUUGACAAUGGAACAGGAAUGCGCUGUUUUUACUUUGAUACUUCUCUGUUUAAUCAUAGAAAUGAUCCAGGGAGAUAAAGUGACUCACCCUUCAAAUUCAACUCUCGUUAAAGAAACAGAGAACACCACUAUACACUGUAAAUAUGAUUUAACAUCAGGCUUUACUCCAAAUCUCUUCUGGUACAUUCAGGACCCCAAUCAAGCCCCACAGCUCAUACUCAGUGGAUAUUCUAAGCAGGAGGACAUUCCACCAAGGUUUCGAAAUCGUUUCUCUGCAUCUCAUAACAACACAGAGAAGACCUUUCAUCUGAAUAUCACUGCGGCUGUGCUGUCUGACUCUGCCACGUACUUCUGUGCUCUGAGGCCCACACUGUGAGAGUCUCUAUAUCACUUCAUACAAAAACCUCCUGCUGCCUGCCGAGUGAGUCUCGCUGGUGAAGAUGGCAGUGGAGCCUGUGUUCUGUGUAGAAGCUACUCAGAGACAUUCUUCUUAAUUACCCUCCUAGCAUGUUCAGAAUGUAGGUACAGCUGGUAUGUUUCGGGUCAUAUUGACCCACUGCAAUUUCAAAUCAACGUGUUCAUUAGAUAGCUUUUACUCUUUAAUGUUAAAUAUUUUAAAUGAAUGCAAACUCUUAUAAUAAAUUCAAAUAAAUAUAGAUUGCAUCAUAACUUUAUAUAACCAUGUUUAUUACACAGAAACCAAAAUUGUAUUGAACCUUAAUAUUUGGAGAAGGGAAUGAAUGAAGCUUGAGCAUAAUGAAGAAUUUCAAGUAUGUAACAAAGAAAAAACACCUUUUCAUGAAGUACUAAUUAUAACUAUGGUGCAUUCAUUGUAAAUAGCAUUUCCUUAUGAAUGUCCCAACAAAUGUGGGUACAUAGAAACAUGAUUGACUCUCCACUA